rnacentral:rRNA from 1 species
CCUACGGGGGGCAACAGUGAGGAAUAUUGGUCAAUGGACGAGAGUCUGAACCAGCCAAGUAGCGUGAAGGAUGACUGCCCUAUGGGUUGUAAACUUCUUUUAUAUGGGAAUAAAACGUUCCACGUGUGGGAUUUUGUAUGUACCAUAUGAAUAAGGAUCGGCUAACUCCGUGCCAGCAGCCGCGGUAAUACGGAGGAUCCGAGCGUUAUCCGGAUUUAUUGGGUUUAAAGGGAGCGUAGGUGGAUUGUUAAGUCAGUUGUGAAAGUUUGCGGCUCAACCGUAAAAUUGCAGUUGAAACUGGCAGUCUUGAGUACAGUAGAGGUGGGCGGAAUUCGUGGUGUAGCGGUGAAAUGCUUAGAUAUCACGAAGAACUCCGAUUGCGAAGGCAGUUCACUGGACUGCAACUGACACUGAGGCUCGAAAGUGUGGGUAUCAAACAGGAUUAGAUACCCCUGUAGUC